rnacentral:rRNA from 1 species
CAGCAGCCGCGGUAAUACGUAGGGGGCAAGCGUUGUCCGGAAUCAUUGGGCGUAAAGCGCGUGUAGGCGGCCAUCCAAGUCCGAUGUGAAAGCUCGGGGCUCAACCCCGAGUCUGCAUUGGAAACUGGCUGGCUUGAGUCCGGAAGAGGAGACUGGAAUUCCUGGUGUAGCGGUGAAAUGCGCAGAUAUCAGGAAGAGCACCGGUGGCGAAGGCGGGUCUCUGGGACGGUACUGACGCUGAGACGCGAAAGCGUGGGGAGCAAACAGGAUUAGAUACCCUGGUAGUCCACGCCGUAAACGAUGGGCACUAGGUGUGGGAGGUGUCGACUCCUUCCGUGCCGAAGCUAACGCAUUAAGUGCCCCGCCUGGGGAGUACGGCCGCAAGGCUAAAACUCAAAGGAAUUGACGG